rnacentral:lncRNA from 1 species
UAAUCAAAAUUUGUAAAAAAAAAUUUCAUCACGACAACAAUCAGAUAUUGUUCAGGAAGCGUUGAUAUUCAACCGUUUCCAAGCAAAUAUGUCCCGAUAAUCCCGUUCUCAAUCCGCUUUUAAUCCGAUUUGUAUCUUUCGCAUGGUAAAAUUCAACCGAGUCUGUCACGACUGCGUCCCAAUUCUACCGAAUGUAAUCCGAUAGAGAUCAGACAGUGAACUGACAAUGACGAAAGUUGUCCGUUCGAAAACUGUCGGCAUACUCGGAAUGAUCAUGUACUGACGGAACAUAAUCCUAUAACGGUCCGCUCUAUCGUAUUGCAAACGGCUUUAUCGGGCUCAGUCGUAUUGUAUUCUGUAAUUGUCGGGACUCUGACGUGGGUAUCAUUGACGAAUUUCGUAUUAUAACGGGACAGUUCCAGAAUGGUUUCGGCAAAGACGGUUCGCAAUUGACAAGAUCUGGAUGCAAUCUGGACUCCAUCGGCAAAAAAACAGCAAUGAAAAAUUUCUCCAUAUCAUUCCUGCUCCACCAGACACCGUCCAGAAAACACCAAACAUUGUUAGGAUUUUGAUCCCAUACAUCAGAAUCUGUCACGACAUAAAUGUAGUCACGACUUGUAAUCAGUAUAGACAUUAUCGACUGAGUUUCCCCGAAUG